rnacentral:rRNA from 1 species
AUACGGGGGGUGCAAGCGUUAAUCGGAAUUACUGGGCGUAAAGCGCGCGUAGGCGGUUAAAUAAGUUGGAUGUGAAAUCCCCGGGCUCAACCUGGGAACUGCAUUCAAAACUGUUUAACUAGAGUAUGGUAGAGGGAAGUGGAAUUCCAGGUGUAGCGGUGAAAUGCGUAGAUAUCUGGAGGAACAUCAGUGGCGAAGGCGACUUCCUGGAUCAAUACUGACGCUGAGGUGCGAAAGCGUGGGGAGCAAACAGGAUUAGAUACCCCAGUAGUCC